CGAAUUUUUAAAAUUUAUAAAUUAUAAAUUACUUAAUAUUUACCCUUCAGGGGAUUUGUUUAAUUAAAAGUGUCUCUUUGUAAACUAAUCAGUUGUACGUCCGCUAAAUUUAUUUGGAAAUUAUAGCAGUCGUCAUUACCAAUUAUAAUUGAGAAUUAUAUACUUUAUAAGUGCAUUAUUGGCACACAAUAUUGUCAGGAAGUCCGCAUACGGACUCUUGAGUAACGGAGUCAGAGACCGUCAGUAAAGCUCCAAAUAGGUUGGGAACCCUAAGAAACGACAUUCUGCAGUGGCCGAUAAAACAGCGCCAAAAUCAAGGGAGUUUUCGUCAACAAAGAUAAGUCAACUUACCAGUACCAGCCUCAUAUGUCCGUCAUUUACUUACCUUCAUAUAUCGUUCCUGUUUAAUACUACUGUUUUCCGAUACCUAUACAGUAAAUUGAUAAUGUCUUUAUUGUGUACCGAUACCGACCGGUAAAUGUUGUAUCAUAAUUAAACUCAAAUCAUUGAGGUGACCGGUCGAAGCACUUUGAA